CCCAACAAACACCGUGGGCCUUCGGGCCCGCGUAUAUUUACUCUGAAUGUGUAUAGAAUGUAAACCAUUUGUUUGCCCUGAAAAAGCAAACGAAAAAAAAUACAACUUUCAACAACGGAUCUCUUGGCUCUCGCAUCGAUGAAGAACGCAGCGAAAUGCGAUAAGUAAUGUGAAUUGCAGAUUUUCAGUGAAUCAUCGAAUCUUUGAACGCACCUUGCGCCCCUUGGUAUUCCGAGGGGCAUGCCUGUUUGAGUGUCAUUAAAUCCUCAACCGCGCCGAUUGAUUUCGGUGGGGCUUGGACUUUGGAGCGUGCUGGCGAAGGUCGGCUCCUCUUUAAAUGCAUCAGCGGAAGAAACCUUUGUCUUUCCUGC
rnacentral:misc_RNA from 1 species